rnacentral:rRNA from 1 species
GGCAACAGCUCAAAUUUGAAAUCUGGCCCCCAGGGUCCGAGUUGUAAUUUGCAGAGGAUGAUUUUGGCGAGGUGCCUUCCGAGUUCCCUGGAACGGGACGCCACAGAGGGUGAGAGCCCCGUCUGGUUGGACGCCGAGCCUAUGUAAAUCUCCUUCGACGAGUCGAGUAGUUUGGGAAUGCUGCUCUAAAUGGGAGGUAUAUGUCUUCUAAAGCUAAAUAUUGGCCAGAGACCGAUAGCGCACAAGUAGAGUGAUCGAAAGAUGAAAAGCACUUUGAAAAGAGGGUUAAAUAGUACGUGAAAUUGUUGAAAGGGAAGCGCUCAUGACCAGACUUGGGCCCGGUGAAUCAUCCAGCGUUCUCGCUGGUGCACUUUGCCGGGCUCAGGCCAGCAUCAGUUUGCCCCGGGGGAUAAAGGCUUUGGGAAUGUGGCUCCUCCGGGAGUGUUAUAGCCCAUUGCACAAUAUCCUGGGGUGGACUGAGGUUCGCGCAUCUGCAAGGAUGCUGGCGUAAUGGUCAUCAGCGACCCGUCUUA